UACGUAGGGUGCAAGCGUUGUCCGGAAUCAUUGGGCGUAAAGAGCGCGUAGGCGGCCCGAUAAGUCCGCUGUGAAAGUCCAGGGCUCAACCCUGGGAUGCCGGUGGAUACUGUCGGGCUCGAGUCCGGAAGAGGAGUGUGGAAUUCCUGGUGUAGCGGUGAAAUGCGCAGAUAUCAGGAGGAACACCAAUGGCGAAGGCAGCACGCUGGGAAGUGACUGACGCUGAGACGCGAAAGCGUGGGGAGCAAACAGG
rnacentral:rRNA from 1 species